rnacentral:lncRNA from 1 species
UAACGGUUUCCGUUACUUACCUGAUCGCCGUCGUUCCCCCGGCGGCGAUCAGCGUGGCUCCGGUUGUGGGGAGACUGCCUGCAUCCCAGACAGUCUCCCCACGGCAGAUUAGGACCCCUGUGGCCAUGUGAUCGCUCAACACAGCGAUCACAUGGUCACAAUAGGUGUCCAUGUGUCUGCCUGCAGGGGGACUGUCUGUGCUGACAGGCAGUCUCCCUGCAAGUGUAAAAUCAGAAAAAAA